CAACCCCUCUGGCUGGCAGUUUCCUGUUACUCCCCAGGAGCAGGGCAGAAGGAGUGCCAUUACACUGCAGAUGUACCGAUCUCUGGGGUUUCCCCACAUGUGGGAACCCGACUGUAUAAUUUGGGGCAGUGGGGGACUGCAUUGGCACUCCCCCC
rnacentral:snRNA from 1 species